GACGAACGCUGGCGGCGUGCUUAACACAUGCAAGUCGUACGGUAAGGCCCUUUCGGGGGUACACGAGUGGCGAACGGGUGAGUAACACGUGAGUAACCUGCCCACAACUUUGGGAUAACGCUAGGAAACUGGUGCUAAUACUGGAUAUGUGCUCCUGCUGCAUGGUGGGGGUUGGAAAGCUCCGGCGGUUGUGGAUGGACUCGCGGCCUAUCAGCUUGUUGGUGGGGUAGUGGCCUACCAAGGCGGCGACGGGUAGCCGGCCUGGGAGGGUGACCGGCCACAUUGGGACUGAGAUACGGCCCAGACUCCUACGGGAGGCAGCAGUGGGGAAUAUUGCACAAUGGGCGCAAGCCUGAUGCAGCAACGCCGCGUGCGGGAUGACGGCCUUCGGGUUGUAAACCGCUUUCAGCAGGGACGAAGCUCUUUGUGACGGUACCUGCAGAAGAAGCACCGGCUAACUACGUG
rnacentral:rRNA from 1 species